AAUGACCUAUUGUAAUGAUGAAUGAAUUAGUGAAUCCAUUUGCGAAAGGAUAACAGAACAUGAGCUAUCUAUUUUAUCCUUUUCUAGAAAAACUACUCAAAAGAAAACGGUUAUUUGCUGUUAGAUCAUGAUUC